ACGGCUCAGUAACACGUGGCUAAUCUGCCCUUGGGACCGGAACACCCCCGGGAAACUGGGGCUAAUUCUCGAUAGGUGAAGAACUCUGGAAUGAGUCUUUGCCCAAAAGACGUUUACGUUAUGCUCGUGGGCGUCGCCCAAGGAUGAGGCCGCGACCGAUCAGGUUGUUGGUGAGGUAAUGGCUCACCAAGCCUUUUACCGGUGCGGGCCGUGAGAGCGGGAGCCCGGAGAUGGGCACUGAGACAAGGGCCCAGGCCCUACGGGGCGCAGCAGUCGCGAAAACUUUGCAAUACACGAAAGUGUGACAGGGCUAUCCCGAGUGCCAUCCGCUGAGGAAGGCUUUUACCCAGUCUAGAACGCUGGGGGAAUAAGGAGAGGGCAAGUCUGGUGUCAGCCGCCGCGGUAAUACCAGCUCUCCGAGUGGUGUGGAUGUUUAUUGGGCCUAAAGCAUCCGUAGCUGGCCAAGUUAGUCCCUUGUUAAACCCACCGAAUCAAUCGUUGGAUUGCGGGGGAUACUGCUCGGCUAGGGGACGAGAGAGGCAGACGGUAUUUUCGGGGUAGGGGUGAAAUCCUAUAAUCCCGGGAAGACCACCAGUGGCGAAGGCUGUCUGCUAGAACGCGCCCGACGGUGAGGGAUGAAAGCUGGGGGAGCGAACCGGAUUAGAUACCCGGGUAGUCCCAGCUGUAAACGAUGCAGGCUAGGUGUUUGGGCGGCCACGUGCCGCUCUAGUGCCGCAGGGAAACUGUUAAGCCUGCCGCCUGGGGAGUACGGUCGCAAGAUUGAAACUUAAAGGAAUUGGCGGGGGAGCAC
rnacentral:rRNA from 1 species